CAUGUCCUCAGGCCUCUCCCAGCAACUGUGAUCGGCAUAAGGAUCACCAACUAGCGCAAAUACAAAGCCGGGAAUGCUGGUGGCUUUAAGGAAGUAAUCAGUUGCCCACUGAAUAGCUUCUAGUGCACGUUGCUGAUCAGGACCCAUGAACUUGCCAAACUCUGUUACACUCCAAGCCAGCAUUGUCGUUGAGAAUGCCAUUGGAAAGUUGAAUUUAACAUUGUCACCAGCAUCAUAGUAUCCGCCCACCAAAUCAACACCAAUCUGAUGGCCGUCGUUAAGAGCAGAAUCCUUUCUCCAAGUGAUCCUUUGGGUAGAGGGUAACUUCCCUGACCUCUGUCCUUCAAAGAACAAAAUGCUCUUACUGAGUGCAUCCCCAUAAUCAUGUGAAGCGACCCUCAUCACCGCAAACAUCGCCAUCAUCCCUGCCAAUGCCAACAAUCUUUCUGAAAGACUCAUUCUCUCUCAAACAAUGGUGAACGAAAGCCCACGUCUCUUUCACUUCUUGUAUAACUAUCCAAGAAAGAUACACAUAAAUGCAUAAGGGCAGAAAGAAAGAACGUAGGGAUGAUCCUUCACUUUAGAGCGAACUAUAUUCCUUUCAGUAAGAAGGUAGAUGGAAAGUUUUGUACGCAGAAAUAGAG
rnacentral:misc_RNA from 1 species